UACAGAGGUCUCAAGCGUUUGUUCGGAUUCAUUGGGCGUAAAGGGUGCGUAGGCGGCGCGGUAAGUCGGGUGUGAAAUCUCGGAGCUUAACUCCGAAACUGCAUUCGAUACUGCCGUGCUUGAGGACUGGAGAGGAGACUGGAAUUCCUGGUGUAGCGGUGAAAUGCGCAGAUAUCAGGAGGAACACCGGUGGCGAAGGCGGGUCUCUGGGCCGAUACUGACGCUGGAGGAGCGAAAGCGUGGGAGCGAACAGG
rnacentral:rRNA from 1 species